rnacentral:rRNA from 1 species
CCUUCGGGAGGCAGCAGUGGGGAAUAUUGCGCAAUGGAGGAAACUCUGACCCAGCAACGCCGCGUGAUGGAUGAAGGUUUUCGGAUUGUAAACAUCUGUUGCGAGGGAUGAAGACUGACGGUACCUCGUGAGGAAGCCCCGGCAAACUACGUGCCAGCAGCCGCGGUAAUACGGAGGGGGCAAGCGUUGUCCGGAAUGACUGGGCGUAAAGGGAGUGUAGGUGGCCUGUUAAGUCAUAUGUGAAAGCCUCCGGCUUAACCGAGGUACUGCAUAUAAUACUGGAGGGCUGGAGUGCAGGAGAGGUAAGCGGAAUUUCUGGUGUAGCGGUGGAAUGCGUAGAUAUUAGGAAGAACACCGGAGGCGAAGGCGGCUUACUGGGCUGUAACUGACGCUGAGGCUCGAAAGCGUGGGGAGCAAACGGGAUUAGAUACCCGUGUAGUC